rnacentral:tRNA from 1 species
GUGAACUCCUCUUAUCA